GGGAAUUAUUAUUAAUUGGCAUUAAUUAUAAGUUUUGAGGUAAAUUUAUACAAAUUAAGGUUCGAUUCCUUUAAUUUCCA
rnacentral:tRNA from 1 species